UUGUGUGCAAGCUUAUGCAAUUGUUUAUUUUCAUGCUUGAGUCCUCUAAUCUCCUAUUUGAGACUCUGUAUUUCAGCCGCCAACGAUUCAACGUGACGGGUUUGAGCAAAUAGGCGUUGGGCCAUGUUGGACACAGAACCCGCACACUGCACACUAAGAGCCAGAGACUCCUUAACCGCCAAUUCAUCAGACCGUCUAGCGAGCAGUCUGUUAUCUCUGGGGGUGACAAGGUUCCGGGCCACCGCCGCAGCGGUCAUGUCAUUUUUCAUCACCGAAUCCCCAACGGUCAGAGGACCAGUAGGGGAUAUGAGGGACGGGCGCCAUAUGUUGUCUGGAGAAUGAGGGGCUGCGCCUUCACCAAGGUUCAAGUCAAAACGACGGUCGGAAGGGCCA
rnacentral:lncRNA from 1 species